rnacentral:ncRNA from 1 species
GGGAAGCCCCCUUCAAGAUGAGACAUCCCCCGAGACCUAGAGUCUCCUAAAGGGCCCAGCGAGACCAGCUGGUGGAUAGCACGGUGUGGAAGCGCUGCAAGGCGUUGAGCUAACGUGUACUAAUGGCCCGUGAGGCUUGACCCU